UUUUCUAGUUCAACUUAUUUUCUUUUCUAAUGAAAGCUUGAUUGACAUGCUGAUCGAUAUCAAAGGCUGUUGGAAAUAAGUUGUGGGAUGCUAAACAUGAGGUUUAGCGAUGACAUUAGUGAUGCAUGGAAUCUAGUAGGAUGCUUAGAUACACACUUUAAGCUUGUAUUCUUAUUGAAUUGUCGUUUGUAUUUAUGUUGUAUUGUUUCAAAUCCUUGUAAUUGACUUUUUAGAAAUGAAAUGAAAAUUUAUUAUUUAAAUA